rnacentral:lncRNA from 1 species
CUUUAGUGACUAGUCUACAAAAAUACUCAAAAAGUGUCAUGAUCAUGAACAUACUUGUAUCAUCCUCUCCAUCUUGAGAGGAAUUUAACCACAAAUUCACGGGCUCACCUUUUCUACAAAGGCACUUCAGAAUUUCCUUCUUGCGGCCACAUAUCUUCUUCGUACUCUUCAUUUUGUACUUCGGCUUCUUCUUGCUCUCUAUCUUAUGGUUUUUCAUUAUUCUUAACCGAUUCAAUGCCCACCACUUCUCCAAGAUAGUACAAUAUACCCUCCUUUAGGAUUAUAUUCCUCCGGUUUGGGCACUCACUAGCCUUGUGCCCCCACCCUUGACACUUGAAGCAUUAAAAUCCCUUGGAAUUGAAAGUAGAAUUCAAUUUACCUUCAUACCUUAGAGGAUGUUUUUGGACAACCUUGGUGGCCUCAGGUUUGGCAUCUAUGAAUGAGUUCUCUUUGAUCUCCCUCUCAAUCUCUAAAGUCGCAUGGAAGAUUCCAUCUAUGGUGUCGAAUUUCUGAAGCAUCAUGCGAGUGGAGAUGUCCUUGUUUAACCUAACCCUGAAGUGCACAAUGUCAUGACUUACUUGCUCUCCUCGGUGGUCAAGUUACAACAUCAAUUGAUGAAAUUCAUCGUAGUAAGCCAUGACACUCUUGCUCCCUUGCAUCAAAUUGUAUAGUUUGCCAAGGUGAUCAUUGUCGCACCCCAUUUCGGACGGGCCGAAACAGUCCGCGACGUAUUGUGGUCGUAGCGACACUUACUGAUUUUUGAAAAAAUUGUUUGUUUUGUUUUUUAGUCGCCACCUAACUUUUGAGAAAAAUCAGGAAAACAAUUUUUUGUAGUAGAAACUCUGUUUUAGUCUACGAAAACCGGUGAGAUUUUAAGUAAGGGUUUGGGUUACUCGAGGGCGAAGGUAUUAUGCACCCCUCAUAGCCUAUCCGAAGAUAGUCCUUCAACUUAGCUUUAGUAAUAUUUAGAGAAUAUUUGGCCUUAGUUAUUUGUUAAAAUUGAUUAGAAAAACGUCAUCAUUUUUAUAUAAAUAAAUAAAAUUUAAAAAAAAAGUAGUCAAGGCACAUAAAGAUGUAACACUAUCACAUACAAGGAAAUAAUAUAGUUAUAAAUAAAUGAAUAUUUUGAAAAAUUAUGAGAGAGUAGUAACUUUUGUUGUUAUAAUAUGUAGAAUAGCGAGUAUAAGAUCUUAUGACUUUGUAAAGUUAAAUAUGAG